UACGUAGGGGGCAAGCGUUGUCCGGAAUCAUUGGGCGUAAAGAGCGUGUAGGCGGCCCGAUAAGUCCGCUGUGAAAGUCCAGGGCUCAACCCUGGAAUGCCGGUGGAUACUGUCGGGCUCGAAUCCGGAAGAGGUGAGUGGAAUUCCUGGUGUAGCGGUGAAAUGCGCAGAUAUCGGGAGGAACACCAAUGGCGAAGGCAGCUCGCUGGGACGUUACUGACGCUGAGACGCGAAAGCGUGGGGAGCAAACAGG
rnacentral:rRNA from 1 species